UUAAUGCUGUGGCAUACGAAUCUACAUCUAAGUGUUGACCGACUAAUUUUUUGUAUUUUCGGGAAACGAAGUCUUGUCCUAGUCUGCAAGCCGUUACACGCGGACGCAACUUCCAAGGAUAAGCGAGUUACCCACCUGCUUAACGUGUGCGGGUUCAAUACAAAGCGUAGAUCACCGGUGCCAAUACAGCAUCAUG
rnacentral:other from 1 species